UACGUAGGGUGCGAGCGUUGUCCGGAAUUACUGGGCGUAAAGAGCUCGUAGGUGGUUUGUCGCGUUGUUCGUGAAAACUCACAGCUUAACUGUGGGCGUGCGGGCGAUACGGGCAGACUAGAGUACUGCAGGGGAGACUGGAAUUCCUGGUGUAGCGGUGGAAUGCGUAGAUAUCUGAAAGAACACCAGUGGCGAAGGCGGUCAGCUGGUCCGUUACUGACACUAAAGCACGAAAGCGUGGGUAGCAAACAGG
rnacentral:rRNA from 1 species